ACAAGAACAGCUUAGACAAAGGGAGAAAUCAGGAAGUGUGCUUAUUAACCUCAGAAAUGAAUACAUAGGAAUGCCAACUGAUUUUAGACAAUGACUCCAAAGAAGUUGUUCCACACUCUGCUGGGACAAAUCACAGAACCCCAUAAACAACUACCACGCUGAAGGUGGAUUCCAAGGAUGCUAGAUGUACUGCAAAGGAAAGGACGAUUCCACACAAUAAAGUCUUAUGAGCACCACACAAUUUCAAAAGGUCUUUCUGUCCAUUCCUGUAGGAACUACGGUAAGAAUUCAUGGGAUUCAUACAGAUCAUGGGAGGAUGUUCUAACUGUUCAAGUACAUUAAAAAGGUCAAAAAGGCUAUUUAUUUAUAAUCUCAGAGUUUUGGGGACAGAUUUUCAAAGAAUGAA